GAGCAUUUGUAAUGCACCUGCUCUCACAGCAGACGAGGGCCUGGUCCCCAGAGCUGAUCCGCAAGGGUUGGAGCCAGACAAUCAACCAGGAAACCAGGGCAAGUGUUCAGGCUGGUGACGGGGGUGACAAGUAGAGGGCUGGUGUCUGGGAUGCAGCCACCUCGGAGGCCGGGCCCUGAGCCGCUGACCAAAGCCACUUUGGGGAGGUGACCAGAGGCCGGAGGUCAGUGUGUGAAGCUCUUUAGGGGAAGUGUCCCAGGCAGAGGGAAGCCAAGGAAGAGCUGACGUGGCCGAGGGACGAGGAAGACCAGGGCGGUGAGAGCCGAGGAGGGUGGGAGGCAGGGCUGGAGUCGGAAGGACUCCUGAGGACAGUAGUGGCUUUCCCAGGGCAGCUGACAUGACUCCUCACCCCUCUCUGGCGAGGGCUCGGCGGGUACAGCCUGUGCACAGAGUACUUUCUAGUUGGCAUAGCACUUGUUCACGCAUCAGCUCAGUGGAUCUUCCCAGCGAACCUGGAACCUGGGCCCAUUGGCUAGGAGGCUCAGAGAUGCCAAGGAGUGACAAUAACCAUGACUUGCUGCCCUUGACCGAGCACUUUUAAGCCUCACUAAAGGCACAGUGGGAUGUUGAACCACCCGAGCAAGCAUCUCCUUUAAUCUUCUGCAGCGUUAUGAAGUAGAAUUGACUAUCGUUCCUAUUUUAGAAGCAGAGCUACAGAAGCCCGAAAAGGAUAAUGGACUUGCCCGAGGUCACACAGCAGCAAAUUUAGACCUAGAACCCACUUCUUGAAUCCUGGUGCAGUGUUCUGACCAGCUCUCGGAAACUGAAAAAAAAAAAAAAAAUUGCUGUAUUUCAAUAGACCUACAGCAUCAUUGAACAUAGAUAUACCACGACUUUCUAUACCCUAGGAGAUAAAAAUGCCAUCCGUUUAACUAAGAUGUAGUCAUUUAUCACUUAGAAUUUCAAAAUUUCCUACUAAGUAAAAGAGCUCAGACUUAGAUGCAUAUCAUAUAGAUAUACAAGCAUAUAUGUCUAUAUCAUGCAUAGAUAUCACUCUUGUGCAUUCAUGAAAGGAAAUUUAUAUGAAAAUAAAUGUAUGUGAAAUGAAACCA
rnacentral:lncRNA from 1 species